GCCUCCGUAAGAUCCUGUCUACAGAGUUUAUUAAUAGUAACUUUACUUGAUUUUUGUAGUUGUUUAGUAAGUAAUUAGCAGUAGAAUAUUGUUUCUUCGAGGUUAACUUUGCUCAGUCUCCUUCUUCGGGUUCGUGAAGCGUGGAUUGUUUCGAGAAGUUGGAGCAGAUUGGUAAAGGCACGAAUGGGCAAGUCUAUUCUUUAUUGUUAGUAUUGUUAUGAACUGGCAAGGUGUUUGAGUACGUCCAGAUAUUUGGAGAUGUAAUGCUUGGAGAUUUGAUUGGAAAAAGGGUUUUAAAGUAAUGGUUGUAGCAGCACCAUGACAGCUUAAUUUGUUGUAGCGUUUCGAGAAAUUGGAGCAGAUUGGUGAAGGCACAAAUGGAAACAAUAUAGGAUUUUAAGCUUAUCGUUCAGGUUUAUAGUGGAGCUUUAAAUCCAGAUCUCGCAGAUGGACAAUGAAUACCAACCCUGAUAAUGACGCGAGAGAGGUGAAGAAGUCCACAAAACUUGGAAUGUGUUUUCUGUGUUCAUGUCAUGCCAGGUAAGGUAUUUAGGUAUUAUCAUCAUAAAAUGGAAGAUAAUUAUGAAUGGCACAUUAUUCUAGAAUUCUUUAUCUAAUUAAGCACAUUAAACCGGCUUUCAUUCCCUGAUGCUAGCAAAGAAAAACUGUUUGUGGUGUGUUGUGUGUUAAGUUGAGUUUGUAUACCUUUAAUGAAUUUCUGCAUAUUCCUUAAGAUGACUUGAUGGGUAUACUAUAUGGUGAUGCAUUCACACCUCUAUCACCUCUAGCCUAAGCUUUCUCGAGAAUGCAACAACAA